rnacentral:rRNA from 1 species
UACGUAGGCAGCGAGCGUUGUUCGGAUUCAUUGGGCGUAAAGGGUGCGUAGGUGGCGCCGUAAGUCAGGUGUGAAAUCUCGGGGCUUAACCCCGAAACUGCACUUGAUACUGCGGUGCUCGAGUACUGGAGAGGAGAUUGGAAUUUACGGUGUAGCAGUGAAAUGCGUAGAUAUCGUAAGGAAGACCAGUGGCGAAGGCGAAUCUCUGGACAGUUACUGACACUGAGGCACGAAGGCCAGGGGAGCAAACGGG